AGAAAGAGAGAGAGAGAUUGAGAAGUUCCUUGAAGAUGGGCUCUAGCACAAGUCCAAAAGCUUGGAAGAAUAAAUUUCUGGUCCUGGUGACAGACCGAAAUUGGAUCUGGACAUUCUUCUUCACCACCUUCCUGGUGUCUUCUCUUCUACUUUCAGAUCAUUUCUUCCCGAAGUGUGAAUGGAACCGUCCUUCAAGUGGAAGUUCUACCUUCCAUCCCUGCCAUGCCAUCCUUCUCAUCUCCAAGUUGGAGAUGAGCAGGAUUAGUUUCUGAAGUCCAGAAGAGCUUGGACUUCCAGCCUGGUCAAACUGAUCUUCUAUCAUCUGGUGUCCUCCACAUUGGUCUGAGGUUGACAGGAGAUGUGGUUGAAUACAUCUGAAGGGAACAUAGGGUUGGAAAAUACCUUGGAGGUCUUCUAGUCCAACUCCCUGUUCAAGCAGGAGACCCUACAUCAUCCUGGACAUACAUCCAGUGAUGGAGCACCCACAACUCUGGGAGGAUUCUUUCUAUUUUCCAAGCCGGAUGAGCUAUUUGUCCUGAUGCAUUUGUGAUGCUCUGGUUGACGGAAACCACGAUCAAGCCAACAAAUGACAAUUGCCUGCGUUCUCCUAACACCGCUCAACCAUCAGCACCUAUUUUUGCAAGUAGAUGCACAGGUUCUUGUUCCAUGCACGCGUACAGAUGCAACAUUCAGAGAGGAAAGGAUUGUGAUGGACUUAUGAAACGUCAGAGGUACCAAGAGUGCCAAGAAAUACUUAUGAGUUUUGAUUUCCAUGCAAAUUCAAAUACAGCUCCCUUUCCCAUCCCAGCAGAUAAAAAUCUGAGCUCUUACAAAAGAAGUUGCUACGUUAUUAAAUUUGGAAUUCAUCAUCAUCUGAUUAGGGCACCGUUUCAAGAGAGAAAAAAUAAAUAUUUCUGAUAUGUU